AUACGGAGGAUCCGAGCGUUAUCCGGAUUUAUUGGGUUUAAAGGGUGCGUAGGCGGAGGAGUAAGUCAGGGGUGAAAUGCCGCAGCUCAACUGCGGAACUGCCUUUGAUACUGCUUUUCUGGAGUUCGGAUGCCGUGGGAGGAAUGGGCAGUGUAGCGGUGAAAUGCAUAGAUAUUGCCCAGAACACCGAUUGCGAAGGCAUCUCACGAAUCCGAAACUGACGCUCAGUCACGAAAGCGUGGGUAGCAAAUAGGAUUAGAUACCCUAGUAGUCCACGCUGUAAACGAUGACAACUAAAUAUUGCCGCGAGGCAGUGUUGAAGCUAACGCAUUAAGUUGUCCGCCUGGAGAGUACGGUCGCAAGACUGAAACUUAAAGGAAUUGACGGGG
rnacentral:rRNA from 1 species